GACGAACGCUGGCGGCGUGCUUAACACAUGCAAGUCGAACGGAAAGGCCCUGCUUUUGUGGGGUGCUCGAGUGGCGAACGGGUGAGUAACACGUGAGUAACCUGCCCUUGACUUUGGGAUAACUUCAGGAAACUGGGGCUAAUACCGGAUAGGAGCUCCUGCUGCAUGGUGGGGGUUGGAAAGUUUCGGCGGUUGGGGAUGGACUCGCGGCUUAUCAGCUUGUUGGUGGGGUAGUGGCUUACCAAGGCUUUGACGGGUAGCCGGCCUGAGAGGGUGACCGGCGACAUUGGGACUGAGAUACGGCCCAGACUCCUACGGGAGGCAGCAGUGGGGAAUAUUGCACAAUGGGCGGAAGCCUGAUGCAGCAACGCCGCGGGCGGGAUGACGGCCUUCGGGGUGUAAACCGCUUUCGCCUGUGACGAAGCGGGAGUGACGGUAAUGGGUAAAGAAGCACCGGCUAACUACGUG
rnacentral:rRNA from 1 species